GAUGAACGCUGGCGGCGUGCCUAAUACAUGCAAGUCGAGCGAACAGACGAGGAGCUUGCUCCUCUGACGUUAGCGGCGGACGGGUGAGUAACACGUGGAUAACCUACCUAUAAGACUGGGAUAACUUCGGGAAACCGGAGCUAAUACCGGAUAAUAUAUUGAACCGCAUGGUUCAAUAGUGAAAGACGGUUUUGCUGUCACUUAUAGAUGGAUCCGCGCCGCAUUAGCUAGUUGGUAAGGUAACGGCUUACCAAGGCAACGAUGCGUAGCCGACCUGAGAGGGUGAUCGGCCACCCUGGAACUGAGACACGGUCCAGACUCCUACGGGAGGCAGCAGUAGGGAAUCUUCCGCAAUGGGCGAAAGCCUGACGGAGCAACGCCGCGUGAGUGAUGAAGGUCUUCGGUUCGUAAAACUCUGUUAUGAGGGAAGAACAAAUGUGUAAGUAACUAUGCACGUCUUGACGGUACCUAAGCAGAAAGCCACGGCCACCUACGU
rnacentral:rRNA from 1 species